GACGAACGCUGGCGGCGUGCCUAAUACAUGCAAGUUGAGCGCUGAAGGUUGGUACUUGUACCAACUGGAUGAGCAGCGAACGGGUGAGUAACGCGUGGGGAAUCUGCCUUUGAGCGGGGACAACAUUUGGAAACGAAUGCUAAUACCGCAUAAAAACUUUAAACACAAGUUUUAAGUUUGAAAGAUGCAAUUGCAUCACUCAAAGAUGAUCCCGCGUUGUAUUAGCUAGUUGGUGAGGUAAAGGCUCACCAAGGCGAUGAUACAUAGCCGACCUGAGAGGGUGAUCGGCCACAUUGGGACUGAGACACGGCCCAAACUCCUACGGGAGGCAGCAGUAGGGAAUCUUCGGCAAUGGACGAAAGUCUGACCGAGCAACGCCGCGUGAGUGAAGAAGGUUUUCGGAUCGUAAAACUCUGUUGGUAGAGAAGAACGUUGGUGAGAGUGGAAAGCUCAUCAAGUGACGGUAACUACCCAGAAAGGGACGGCUAACUACGUG
rnacentral:rRNA from 1 species